ncrna:unclassified sequences Streptococcus sRNA SpF59 (ldcC RNA)
CGACCGCCGAGCCCUUGAAAAAGGGGGAGGCCAAGGCCACACGGACAGCCGGGUCGAAUGCCGA